GUUAACAGUUAUUUGCAUGAACUAGGCACUUCCGGAAAUCGAGCUGUGGAACGCAUAUGCGUUCCACCAGCGGCGCUGUAAAGUAAUUAACCACACUGAGCCGAACUCAGCAGCGCGGAUGGCCCUGACUGCUAACUUAUUAGUUCAUUUAUCCACACUGCAAUAAGCAUGUAGGGGGUGAAAUUAUAUAGGUAAGAAAAUCGAGGAGGGGGACGCAUUUGAGGCCGUCCCUGCACUUCCGGGGUAAGGGGUAUAAAAGUCCUGUCAUUUUGCCAGUUACAGUUGUGGCUGUAGAAGGUGUCAGCAUCUCCUGUAGAGUGGGUGAGUACUGCUAUUACAUUAGCAUGAGUAGUUGGUAGAUCUAUAUCAUUUUGACUAUUGGAGGAUGAACUAUGUGAACUGUCCUUACAGUGAUCUCCUAUGUUGUCAGAGUUGCUCGGAGGUUGUGUGGCUAAGUAAGCACACCAAAACCUGUUAGUACUAAGUCUGACCCAUCCAUGCAGCACGUUCAUUGUCUGAACAUGAGACAUUGAUUCCCUGAGUAAGUGGAUGUUGUCCUGUUACCACAGCCAUUAUACGUUUAAGAGAAAUGCCCUAGUUCACAUUGGUGUUUAUUUUUCUGGACGUGGGACUGGUGAGCACGCUUGGCCAAUAUAGACAUAGGUGUGAUAUUACAUUCGAAUCACGAUGGGUGUCUGUGAGACCCUUGUAACCAAAUACUGUUGGAGUGUGGCAGUCUAUAUAUAUAUGUUUUGUGUUUGUUCCUUUAAGAGAAUUACUCUAUCUAUUGUCUUUUGUCUUUUGUAGUAAUCAAUGUAUGAUGCUUUCAAAAACUGUAUAAAAAUCGAAGCUUGUCUUGAGAAAGAUCCGCGAAUUAGGAUCGAAACGUCGACUAAUUGAGCCGAAUAUACACUGCAAUAAAGCUGUUAUGAACAAACCAGAA